UACGAAGGGGGCUAGCGUUGCUCGGAAUUACUGGGCGUAAAGGGCGCGUAGGCGGAUCGUUAAGUCAGAGGUGAAAGCCCAGGGCUCAACCCUGGAAUUGCCUUUGAUACUGGCGAUCUUGAGUACGGGAGAGGUGUGUGGAACUCCGAGUGUAGAGGUGAAAUUCGUAGAUAUUCGGAAGAACACCAGUGGCGAAGGCGACUUACUGGACACAUAUUGACGCUGAGGUGCGAAAGCGUGGGGAGCAAACAGG
rnacentral:rRNA from 1 species